rnacentral:tRNA from 1 species
CGCAGCGUGGCAGAGAUGGCUUUGCAAAUCCCUGGCGGGGUAGUAUUACGCGGGUUCAAAUCCCGCCGCUGCGUCA